AUCUGAGAGUAACUGUUCAGGUAUUGACGGUAUUUAACCAGAAAGCCACGGCUAACUACGUGCCAGCAGCCGCGGUAAUACGUAGGUGGCAAGCGUUGUCCGGAUUUAUUGGGCGUAAAGCGAGCGCAGGCGGUUUUUUAAGUCUGAUGUGAAAGCCUUCGGCUCAACCGAAGAAGUGCAUCGGAAACUGGGAAACUUGAGUGCAGAAGAGGACAGUGGAACUCCAUGUGUAGCGGUGAAAUGCGUAGAUAUAUGGAAGAACACCAGUGGCGAAGGCGGCUGUCUGGUCUGUAACUGACGCUGAGGCUCGAAAGUAUGGGUAGCAAACAGGAUUAGAUACCCUGGUAGUCCAUACCGUAAACGAUGAAUGCUAAGUGUUGGAGGGUUUCCGCCCUUCAGUGCUGCAGCUAACGCAUUAAGCAUUCCGCCUGGGGAGUACGGCCGCAAGGCUGAAACUCAAAGGAAUUGACGGGGGCCCGCACAAGCGGUGGAGCAUGUGGUUUAAUUCGAAGCUACGCGAAGAACCUUACCAGGUCUUGACAUACUAUGCAAAUCUAAGAGAUUAGACGUUCCCUUCGGGGACAUGGAUACAGGUGGUGCAUGGUUGUCGUCAGCUCGUGUCGUGAGAUGUUGGGUUAAGUCCCGCAACGAGCGCAACCCUUAUUAUCAGUUGCCAGCAUUAAGUUGGGCACUCUGGUGAGACUGCCGGUGACAAACCGGAGGAAGGUGGGGAUGACGUCAAAUCAUCAUGCCCCUUAUGACCUGGGCUACACACGUGCUACAAUGGAUGGUACAACGAGUUGCGAACUCGCGAGAGUAAGCUAAUCUCUUAAAGCCAUUCUCAGUUCGGAUUGUAGGCUGCAACUCGCCUACAUGAAGUCGGAAUCGCUAGUAAUCGCGGAUCAGCAUGCCGCGGUGAAUACGUUCCCGGGCCUUGUACACACCGCCCGUCACACCAUGAGAGUUUGUAACACCCAAAGUCGGUGGGGU
rnacentral:rRNA from 2 species